rnacentral:tRNA from 1 species
GGGCGGGUAGCUCAGUUGGCCAGAGCAUUCGCGUUACAUGCGAAGGGUCCCGGGUUCGAGCCCCGGCCCGCCCA